AACUAAUAACGGAUUCAUAAGAUGCAAUUCAUAGGUAGAUAGGGAGACGGUGCAGACGCUUAGGAGCUUAUUCAGCAGAUUUACAGGAGCAACCUACUACUCCAGAGGUGCCGCAUAUUGGUAUAUUCUUUUGUGUACAUACUGGGGCAUGGCGGGGUCCUGUCCCGUCCUUAUGAUUUCAGUACUUCAGUUAGAGGCUUAGAGGCUCGUAGAUACUUAUGUGUGGGUUGUAGGUGCUAUGUGACCUCUUCAUCAUAUAUUCUAUUCAUCAUUUUUGUAGCCUUAUGGGCCUAUGUUUAUAUGUAUGCUUUCGGGAGGUAUGUAGUGGCUAUUCAUGAUAA